ACUCAAAGGAAUUGACGGGGACUUGCACAAGCAGUGGAUUAUGUGGUUUAAUUCGACGGUAAACGAAGAACCUCACCCGGGUUUGAAACCUAGUUGAAGAUCCGCCGAAAGGCGGAUUGUCUCACAAGGACAAUUAGGCAGGUGAUGCAUGGCCGUCGUCAGUUCGUGGUUUGAAUUGUUCCCUUAAGUGGGGUAACGAACGCAACCCUCGUUGCCAGUUACAAGUGUCUGGCGAGACUGCCCCCAUAUGAGUCUUUAUAUAUUUUAUAUUGAAGAUUCAUAUGGGGGAGGAAGGCGAGGAUGACGCCAGGUCAGCAUGUCCCUCUGAUAUCCGGGGCUACACACAUAAUAUAAUGGCCACUACAACGCGACGCAAAGAGGCAACUCAGAGCAAAUCGUUAGAAAGGUGGCCCCAGUUCGGAUUGAGGUCUGCAACUCGACCUCAUGAAGCUAGAAUUGCUAGUAAUCGCGGGUCAGCUAUACCGCGGUGAAUACGUUCUCAAGUCUUGUACACACCGCCCGU
rnacentral:rRNA from 1 species